AUACGGAGGGUGCAAGCGUUGUUCGGAUUCACUGGGCGUAAAGGGCGUGUAGGCGGAUUUGCAAGCUGGAGGUGAAAGCCCCGGGCUCAACCCGGGAAUUGCUUCCAGAACUGCAUGUCUAGAGAAAGUCAGAGGCAGGUGGAAUUCCAGGUGUAGAGGUGAAAUUCGUAGAGAUCUGGAGGAACACCAGCGGCGAAGGCGGCCUGCUGGGGCUUUUCUGACGCUGAGGCGCGAAAGCGUGGGGAGCAAACAGGAUUAGAUACCCCGGUAGUCC
rnacentral:rRNA from 1 species